rnacentral:rRNA from 1 species
CCUACGGGUGGCAGCAGUAGGGAAUAUUGCACAAUGAGGGAAACCCUGAUGCAGCGACACCGCGUGAACGAUGACGGUUUUCGGAUUGUAAACUUCUGUUCUUAGUGAAGAAUAAUUGCAGUAGCUAAUGAGCAAGCCACGACUAAAGACGUUCCAGCAGCGGCGGUAAUACGUAGGGGGCCAGCGGUGUCAGGAAUUACUGGGUAUGAGUGGUGCGCAGGCGGGAUGCCAAGAUAGUUGUGCAAACUACGGGGUUAACUUGUAGCCUGCAGUUGAAACUGGUUUUCUUGAGUGAAGUAGAGGUUGGCGGAAUUCCGAGUGUAGCGGUGAAAUGCGUAGAUAUUCGGAGGAACACCGGUGGCGAAGGCGGCCAACUGGGUUUUAACUGACGCUGAGGCUCGAAAGUGUGGGGAGCAAACAGGAUUAGAUACCCGUGUAGUC